CCUACGGGAGGCAGCAGUGGGGAAUAUUGGACAAUGGGCGAAAGCCUGAUCCAGCAAUGCCGCGUGAGUGAUGAAGGCCUUAGGGUUGUAAAGCUCUUUUACCAGGGAUGAUAAUGACAGUACCUGGAGAAUAAGCUCCGGCUAACUCCGUGCCAGCAGCCGCGGUAAUACGGAGGGAGCUAGCGUUGUUCGGAAUUACUGGGCGUAAAGCGUACGUAGGCGGUUAUUCAAGUCAGAGGUGAAAGCCUGGAGCUCAACUCCAGAACUGCCUUUGAAACUAGAUAGCUAGAAUCUUGGAGAGGUGAGUGGAAUUCCGAGUGUAGAGGUGAAAUUCGUAGAUAUUCGGAAGAACACCAGUGGCGAAGGCGACUCACUGGACAAGUAUUGACGCUGAGGUACGAAAGCGUGGGGAGCAAACAGGAUUAGAUACCCUGGUAGUCCACGCCGUAAACGAUGAUAACUAGCUGUUCGGGCUCUACGAGCUUGAGUGGCGCNGCUACGACAUUAAGUUAUUCCGUCCGUCGGGGAGGUACGGUCGGCGAAGAAUUAAAACUUAACGAAAGGAAAGUUAGUACGGCGUGAGACGUGCCGACGGACGACGACGAGGGAGGAGG
rnacentral:rRNA from 1 species